rnacentral:lncRNA from 1 species
UAGAGAUGAAUGAAUACAUUUCAAGUACUGUGUCUACCUCUGUUUGUGUCUGCCAGGGUUGGCAGGAAGCAUCAGCCCAUCUCAACCACUCUGUGCCCCUGCUAGAAAGGGUGGGUCUCCCCGCCAAUUCUGCCAUGACGACGCGCUCAGAGAGCCAUGGCAACGGCUCUUACCACUGGCUCCUCCACUGCAUCGUGGGAGGCCAACAGUUCAUUGAGGAGAUGACCGUAGAGAGGAGUCAAGGGAUGGUGAGGGUGAAGGGCAUUGUCAAUCACACUUUGGAACUUCUGAAGAACUGGGGACUGCCAGAGAACAACAGUAUGCAGGUUAGAGACGUCAGACUGCUGAUCCAAGCCAAACCAACCUGAGUCGAGCUGUACUGGGUUG